AGGUGAACUGACUUACCCAAGAUCAUAUAACCAGCAGCUGCAGAAACCUAGUUUGAACUCUGUUCUCCAUGUCUCCUUGUUCUUUUUAAUUAUCCACCGUGUCUAAAACCCAGCAUCGUUAUUCACAGCAUUGGGCACUGAUGUGCCUUCACAGGAAACGUGGCCCCGUGUGUUUCCGGGAUUCUUGAUGUUUCUUCUGAGCUCCAGGGUCAGGCAGUAUGAUUGAAGUUUCUAAGCCAGCAUCCUUGGAACAAAGAAGCUUUUGAGGUAACAAGGAGUAGUUCCUAAGAACCCACGUGGAGGGUCACACUUCUGAUCUGAGACCUUUCAGCAGAGCCUGAGAGCAGAGUGGAAAGGGCCAGGAAGGAACAUGUCCGGAACUGCCUGUUCACUGAAGACAUUUUUGCUGCUCCUGUACAGUUAAGUAACACUUGGUGAUGUCAGCACAUGCGGAAACCAUGGCAGACUGUCCAGUGGAUGGGCUUUCAGGAGGAGAUUAGCUGCCAGCGUGAGCAAGGGGCAGGCAGCACAGGAGAGGACAUGUCACUGCCCACUGUGAGGAUUGUGAGAACACAGUCUGGGGAAGGCAUCGCCUAGAUGGGGAACUCGUCCCUGCUGCUCCCUUCCUGUCUACUCAUUGUCUUUGAAGCCUGUAGAGAUGCAUCAUUGUUCCUAUUCUGAUGUUACAAAAAUCAAGUGACAGUGUUGUAUAAAGGUGAAAAAAUGGGCCUAGAAGAUAUGACUUAUUUAAUCAUGUCAUUUGUUAGUGGCAUACUCAGAAAAUAACUCAUUAGGGCUGGGCUCAGUGGCUCAUGCCUGUAAUCCCAGCACUUUGGGAGGCCAACGUGGGAGGACUGCUUGAGCCCAGGAAUUCAAGACCAGUCUGGGCAACAUAGUGAGACCCGGUCUCUAGAAAAAAAAAAAUUAUCUGGCUGUGGUGGUGCGUACCUGUAGUCCUCCUACUUAAGAGGCUGUGACUUGAGGAUCACUUGAGCUUCAGCCCAGGAGUUCAAGGCUGCAGUGAGCUGUGAAUCGUGCCACUGUGGUCCAGCCCAGGCAACAGAGCCAGACCCUGUCUCAAAACAAAAAACAAAAAAGUCUAAGUGCCAUCCAGUCUUAAACAAUUAAGCCACAUCAAGUUUUUAAAAUUAAAAGAUCCUUUUGAGAAACUGCAACUGAGUUAAAAUAAACAAUUAAAGCACCCCCAUUGUUUUCUGGAAAUGUUGAGGAGGAUUUUCUAACUGAAGGGACAAGUGCUAUCAUUAAGAAGGCUGAGAAACAGUACAGCCAGGGCAUUUUUUCCAGUGUUUUAAUGACGGCUCAGUCUUUCUUUUCUGUAUUGUAAUUUGCUUAAUUGACUGUCUGCUGUUUUAAACUUUUCUUUUAGCCAAUGGGAGGGGAACAUGCAUUUUUUAUGAAUCAGUAGGAAAUAUUUACACUGAUUUAAUGAAGAAUUGCAUGUCUAAACUUUUGGUGACCUGUCAGAGUCAGCAUGGACAUGUGGGUGUUACUCCACAGGGUCUUUCCUGUUCUUAGGGUUAAAGGGACAUUGCCCCCAGGGGCCUUGCAUGCAAGUUUUGUAGGCAGGUGAGUCUGUGUGCUGCAUGGCAGCCAGGCUGCACAGGAUCUCAUUCUCUUUCCUUCUUCUCCAGUUUUACCUUUAUAAUUCUCUUCCAUUCUCCAUGAGUAACAAGAAACAAACGGACCUCAGGUGAGUUGUUUAUUCUCACUUUGUUUUACAAUGGACUUUGUGAGAUUUAUAAGGGGACAGAAAUUAAA